rnacentral:rRNA from 1 species
UACGGGGGGGGCAAGCGUUGUUCGGAAUUACUGGGCGUAAAGGGCUCGUAGGCGGCCAACUAAGUCAUACGUGAAAUCCCUCGGCUUAACCGGGGAACUGCGUCUGAUACUGGAUGGCUUGAGUUCGGGAGAGGGAUGCGGAAUUCCAGGUGUAGCGGUGAAAUGCGUAGAUAUCUGGAGGAACACCGGUGGCGAAGGCGGCAUCCUGGACCGAUACGUGACGCUGAGGAGCGAAAGCCAGGGGGAGCAAAACGGGGAUUAGAACUACC